UCUGUAGGCCAUACCACCCUGAACACACCCCAUCUGGUCUGAUCUCGGAAGCUAAGCAGGGUUGGGCCUGGUUGGCACUUGGAUGGGAGAUCUAUAGGCUUCUGGGUUAGGCACUAGAA
rnacentral:rRNA from 1 species